UGUGCUACUUUUACAUAUUGACUUGCGCCACGUUUGUUUACACAGAAAAAGUCUCGAGGUCCACUGAAAGUUCGUAAAAUAUUUACAGGAGACCGAGAUUGAGACAUACACUAUGUGACAAAAGUUUACGUACGUCUACUAAGGAAUGAGAUAUAAGGAACGAUUAGAGAGUGGUGAUAUCGACGUUUCAUAUGCCUCAGGGGUGACGUGUGUUCGAACUUCGUGAAUAAAUAACUGUCUGCUAUUUUUACGGAAACCGAUUGGAUUGAUUCUGUCUAUCGUUGCGCGGCUUAUCUUACUAGCAGAUCAAUAUAGAGUGCCCAAGAGGAAUAAACGUACAGACUGUUUCGAAUGAAUGACAAAUUUUUGAAGUUAAUACUGUACAGUACGCAUGUACAGUCAUGUGAUUGGACAACUUAUCAGCCAAGUAUGUUAAUAUUUCUUGAACAUCAUAUCAUUCACUGAACUAAUGGGCAAGUACCUAUUUUUAAAUUGAGACAGCCAGCAGUUGUUAAAGUUAUUUAACUUGUCAGCUGUGAGUGUCUCACAGCAGGUUCCCUCGAUAAUAGAGCUAUUACUGGAAGCUAUUACUGAAAGCUAUUACAGACAUAAGGCAGCCAAAAUCCUGAUAAAGCAGUUCAUCAACAACACUGUUAGUUUUAUUUUUCAUAAUAUAAUGCGAUAUUUACAGUUUCCUGAAAGGUUCUAACAUUUUUGGGCUUUCAAAAGAGACCAUGCAAGCUUUUAUAAAAUUCUUAAGAAUUCCAAGACUUUCAAGAUUUC